UCGGUGAGACGGAUGAGGAGAAGUAUGAUUCAAGCAUGUAUCAUUUCAGUGAGCACGUAGCUCUAGCGAGGGAGAGUAAGAGCUUGAGUGAAGCUCACAGAAACAAUAGCAAGUUGCAGAAGUGGUGCAAGAAGCAAGACAAGUUCAUUAUCAAAUGCCUAAAGACUAUCAAGUCUUUGAAGGCCAUGCUAAGCUGCUCCACUUCCACUACAACUAUUCUG
rfam:Arabidopsis thaliana chromosome 4, complete sequence.